UUCUCUAUUCAAUGGUUCCGCCGGGUCUGCUGAAUAGUGUGAAUGAGAGAAUCCCAGAACCAGAAGAGUUUCUUCAAUUUCUCCUUCUUUCGAUUUUGGAGAUAUUUACAGAGUGAAAAUGGGAGCUUCGAAACUUUCCGGGAUGC